rnacentral:tRNA from 1 species
CUUUUGUAGUUUAUAUUAAAAUAUCAUAUUUUCAAUCUGAAAAAGAAUUUUUCCAAAAGA